AAAUGCCCCACUCCCGACCCCCACCAAGUGAUUCCCACUUCCUGGUAUUCACACUCAUAUAAUCACCUCCACCUUGUAACAGGAUUGGUCUGAGUGACCAAUAGAAUAGAGCAAAAGUAGUGGUAUGUCACUUCUGAGAUUAGGUUAUAAGAGACAUUUUUGGCAUUUUGAUUGGCCUCUCAUACUCCCUGUCUCAUGGGUCACUCAUGCUGGUGGAACCUGGCUGCUAUGUGUCAGAUUUACAGAGAGGUUCCCCUUGUAAGAAACUGGAGCCUGCUUUCCUCCAGCAGUCAUGUGAGUCAGCUUUGAAGCGAAUCCUCCAGCCCAGUCAGGUUUUCAGACAACUCCAGCGUUGGCCAAAAUCUUGACUACAACCUCAGGAGAAACCCUGGCCAGAACUACCCAGAUAAGCUCUGAAAUUCUUGACCUCAGAAACUGGGGAAUGAAUGCAUUUUGACAAUUCGUGAAAAUAAUCACUAGUUUAGUAUCCGUGGUUGUACCAGUUCUCUGAAUUCUAAAGAUGAAAAGGUUUGCGCUAUUAAAAAUAAAGCUACAAUACACUCUUCACUUUUCU
rnacentral:lncRNA from 1 species